rnacentral:rRNA from 1 species
UCAGGACGAACGCUGGCGGCGUGCCUAAUACAUGCAAGUCGAACGAACUCUGGUAUUGAUUGGUGCUUGCAUCAUGAUUUACAUUUGAGUGAGUGGCGAACUGGUGAGUAACACGUGGGAAACCUGCCCAGAAGCGGGGGAUAACACCUGGAAACAGAUGCUAAUACCGCAUAACAACUUGGACCGCAUGGUCCGAGCUUGAAAGAUGGCUUCGGCUAUCACUUUUGGAUGGUCCCGCGGCGUAUUAGCUAGAUGGUGGGGUAACGGCUCACCAUGGCAAUGAUACGUAGCCGACCUGAGAGGGUAAUCGGCCACAUUGGGACUGAGACACGGCCCAAACUCCUACGGGAGGCAGCAGUAGGGAAUCUUCCACAAUGGACGAAAGUCUGAUGGAGCAACGCCGCGUGAGUGAAGAAGGGUUUCGGCUCGUAAAACUCUGUUGUUAAAGAAGAACAUAUCUGAGAGUAACUGUUCAGGUAUUGACGGUAUUUAACCAGAAAGCCACGGCUAACUACGUGCCAGCAGCCGCGGUAAUACGUAGGUGGCAAGCGUUGUCCGGAUUUAUUGGGCGUAAAGCGAGCGCAGGCGGUUUUUUAAGUCUGAUGUGAAAGCCUUCGGCUCAACCGAAGAAGUGCAUCGGAAACUGGGAAACUUGAGUGCAGAAGAGGACAGUGGAACUCCAUGUGUAGCGGUGAAAUGCGUAGAUAUAUGGAAGAACACCAGUGGCGAAGGCGGCUGUCUGGUCUGUAACUGACGCUGAGGCUCGAAAGUAUGGGUAGCAAACAGGAUUAGAUACCCUGGUAGUCCAUACCGUAAACGAUGAAUGCUAAGUGUUGGAGGGUUUCCGCCCUUCAGUGCUGCAGCUAACGCAUUAAGCAUUCCGCCUGGGGAGUACGGCCGCAAGGCUGAAACUCAAAGGAAUUGACGGGGGCCCGCACAAGCGGUGGAGCAUGUGGUUUAAUUCGAAGCUACGCGAAGAACCUUACCAGGUCUUGACAUACUAUGCAAAUCUAAGAGAUUAGACGUUCCCUUCGGGGAC